CCCGAUUUACCUAUGAGAUAUACCAGGUUAAACGAAGGCGAAAGCAAUUUCAAUGGCUUAGAAAUAUUGCAAAGCUGCAGAAUUGACUGCUAUCUGAAUUGUAAUUACUUCCAAAGAAAAUACGUGAAUUUCAACUACGCUGCAUGAUAAUUGAAUAUUCCACAUCCGAAAUGAAACACAUUUACUUUGGCAGUCCUUGCUCUUCCGCAUAUCCGACAAUAGGUCAUUUAUGGAUAGCAUGAAUAUCCGACCAUCAAACAGAUUAGGAUAUGAAAACGUUUUCCUUCUUAAUCUUAUAUUUAAAUGGUCGAUCAAUUAAUGUUCUAUUUAUCGAAUGAUUUUAUGAUGACGACGCGAGUAUUUCUAUUGAUGAGAGGGACAUUAGGUCUCUUAACUGUAGCUAUCCUUCAUAUUGUAUUAUUGUAUAUAAAUCAAGAACCUACAUAUUUAUUAACUAAUGUAACGAAAAAUAUUAUAUAUAUGGGAAGCAAGAUGCUCCAUGAAAGAGACGAGAUCAUAAAAGCAGAGGAUGAAGCUGAUGCUGCUCACGAAUUUAUUACAAAUCUUCCAAAUGAUCUGGUAGGCAAGUUAGUGAGAGAAUCACCUAAUUAUCUGGUUUAUGGAAACAACAUGUUUCUAUUUCUAGAGCAUUACUAUAGCAACCAUCGACAUCAAUAUUAAAUUUUAAUACACGAGGUACGAAGAUAUCAGAUUGCAUUGAAUCGUGAAAGCAGAAGAGUGGUCCAAGAAGGUGGAAAUUCGUACUGAAGAAGAAACAUCAUUAGCUACUGCUCUUGCAUGCAUUAUGUGAUUGAGAAUACCUAGGAAAUGCAAAAGGAAAAAGAACAUUUGUGUGUUUCCGACGAAAUUUGGAAAAACCAAUAUGGCAUUGUUUUAUAAAGCUUGGAACUGUGGUACGAGGAAAUGGGAGGGAUUUACCUUCUUCAAAGGAUCCAAACGUGAGCGGCUUUAGCUGUAGGCUAUAAGCGACGGUACUCAGAUCGAUUUGUCGACGUUCCACGCAGGGCCAGGAUCAAAUGGGAAUUGAAAUGAAACUGAGGGAAGUAUAUCAUACAUAAUAAUUUAACAUACAGGGACGAUCAAAGGAUUCACCGUUUUUGGAAGUAAUAACGUUAACAGGGAAAUACUUUUAAAUUAUACGUGAAAUUGAAAAUCCACGUUCACGUGAUUUUUAUUCCAUCGAUGCAAAUUAAGUAAGCAUUCGAUAUUAUUAAGAAAGGAGAAAUGCUGAAUUCUGUAUUUGAUAUUAUUUCUCAUAACAUUCACGACAUGUACUUAAAGAAUAUUCGUAAUAUUUAAUUAGCGGUUUUCUUAAAUAUUGAAAUUUGGACGAAGAAUUCGGUAGCACAAAGUAUCUGUUUUUAAUACGUUCUCCCAUACUUAUCGAGAAAUACCUUCGUUUUAAACUUUUCGGUAUUAUCUCCCUCAAUCUGCGGGUGCUCUAGUGCACGACUAUCUGCGGCGGUUCGAGUAGCCGGGGAUGAGUGAGCGGUCCUGUGUGCGUCUAUGCGGACAACCCCUAUUUUAUCUUCAUAUAAUUGGAGAUUAGCUCUAUAAUUCCAUUACCUAUUUAGAUUUAUCGUUUGAUAGCACGAUUACUUAUUUUGCAGAGUAGUGGAUUAUUUUCUUUGGAACAAAUUGAUUUGGAACAUAAUAUACGAAAUAUUAGAUAAUUAGGAUUAUUUUUUUGCAUUCUUCAAUAGGGAGUAAAUUUCUAGGAAAAUGUUUCGGUUCAUAUAGAAAAAUUAAAUCAGUCGUGGUACAUUGACGUCCAAAUUAUCCAGAUAACUGCAUGAUACAGCUAAAUGGAUAAUUGAAUUAUACCGCUAAUCUUAUUAUCGAAUUGUCUGCUUCGUUUGAUGAGAGGGAAACUCAUGAAAAAAUACCUUUCUUGUUUUUAAAAUAAGAGAAGUGAUGUACGUAGAAACGCCCACUUAUUCCCGUCCACUUGAGCAGCACUUGAAAAGCGCGCACGGAGAGGAAUAACAAUGCAUCGUUUAAUAUCAUGGUGCUUGACGAUAGGUACGAGGGAAGGUAUUGCGUACGCGUAAAUCGUUAAAUUCCGAUCAAUACUCGUUAACAGGGAAAUUUGUAGACAUGAAGGAUCAUAUAUUUUUGCAAAAAAGAGCAAAAUUUUGUCCUUUAUAAUUUUUCACGAUGUCUAUGAUAAAUGUUGAAUCAAUUCUUUUCCAACAUUAUCAUCCCUCGCGUUAUGUAUGAGAUCUCUCCGUUUUCUUGUUGGAUGUCAUCACUGUCACUUCUAUCGUUUUCUUCCGAAUUAAUAUUCAUUUUUUCUAACCGUGUAAAUGGAAUUUCUCUUCGGUAUUACUUAUAGCACGAAACUCACUCGUGUUUGGAAAUUUUGGAUUUUCUCUUAAUGAAAAAGAAAUAAGUAAGUAAACGGGUUGGUAGUCUGAAAUUGUAUAUUACCAAAUCACGAAAUGAUACAUAACAAUAAUAUAAUACUUUCCUGGUUUCCUGACUAAUUUAGUCGAGGGAUCUAUUUAUACUACUCGAAGUUUCAAUACGAAGUGAGCUCAGCUUUGAAAAUCUCUUUCCUGAGUUUUAUGAAUACUUGUUUACUUCAUCAAAUAUCACUAUAUCGUACGAGGCAUACUCAUGUACUAUUACAAACAAAUCCUUUUCAUCGCUCUCUUUAAGCAGGCUGGAUAAGCAUCCAGAUCGUUGUGAACGUACUUCUUCUUCAUAAAACCGAUUGUUUUCGUACGUCCUCGUAAUUUGAUUAUUUCGUUAGUAACGAAUUCAAUUGUUCUCUCGGAGGUGAAAUACGUGAAAGAGAAGGUAAUAUUAGGUGAGAAAGAAAUACGAAGAAAGAUAUUGUCCGAAUACAAGUUUUUUAUCAUUAUGCAAUAACGAAAAUGAAUUUUUCGAUAACUUGAGCAAUAUUCAUUUGUUUACAAGAAAAGAAGGUAAUAUUUGGAAAAAAUGUUUUCAAGCAAAAUGGAAGUAGAUAUAACUUCCGAACAUGAGAAAUGCUUUCACCACAGUCUGAGCUCUUCUCUGAUCCGCUGAAGGAGGGUUGUAAGAAGAACUUGUAUAUAUAGUGAUAUUUGAUGAAGCAAACAACCGAUCCUAAAACUGGAGAAAGAGAUUGUCAAAGCUGAAACGAGUUCUUAUUAAAACUUGUAGUAGUAUAAAUAGGUCCCUCGACUAAUUAAUCAAAAAACCAGGAAAGUAUUAUUUUUUUGUUAUGUAUCAUUUCGUGAUUUCGUAAAAUGCAAUUAUCUCCAUUUUAUUUAUUUAUCUAUUUUUUUUUUCUUCUUUUUUUCUUUCUUUCUUUCUUUUAUUAAGAGAAAGGCAAAGUGCCCAAAUACGCACAAGUCUCAUGAUAUAAGAUAUAAGUAGUGAAGAAGAAUGUCAGAUAGGCAUUCAUACAGUCACGUUAGAAAAAAUAAAUAUGAAUUCGGAAGAAUACAACAGUAGGGAUAGUUAUAUCAUCUAGCAAGGAAACGAAGAGAUCUCAUUGAUGAAAGUGAUGAAAAUGUUGUAAGAGAAUUGCUUGAAAACUAAUCAUAGAUUUCGUAAAAACUAAUAAGUACUUUUAAAAUAUAUACUCUGAUGUGAGUCGUUGGACCACGUCUGCGCCAAUAAAGUUCCAUCGAUUUGUUGAGAGGUAACGACCGAAAGGACUCAGUGUAGAAAUGAUUAUUACGUUAUACGCACAUUAAUUGCUUACUCGGACGGAAAGGUCGAAAAUGAAGUUAAUUAAGGGGAAAUGAACUUCUCUUUUAUUAUUGAACAAAUAUCUUUGAAUUCGACAUGUUACUUUUCUCUCUUUUUUUUUUCUCUCUUUCUUUACACUUUAUAAUCUGAAAUAAACUAAUGAAUGUUGUCUA